rnacentral:rRNA from 13 species
GCAGCCGCGGUAAUUCCAGCUCCAAUAGCGUAUAUUUAAGUUGUUGCAGUUAAAAAGCUCGUAGUUGGAUUUCUGGUGGAGGUGAUCGGUCGGCCUCGCAAGGGGUCUGCACCUGUAUUGUCCUUUGCCAUCCUUCAGGAAGGCGCUUCUUGUAUUAACUUACGGGUUGCGAACUCCUGAUCUUUUACUGUGAAAAAAUUAGAGUGUUCAAAGCAGGCUUAGGCUGUUGAAUACAUUAGCAUGGAAUAAUGAGAUAGGGCCUUGGUGGUUUUCUAUUUUGUUGGUUUGCACGCCAAGGUAAUGAUUAAUAGGGAUAGUUGGGGGUAUUCGUAUUCAAUUGUCAGAGGUGAAAUUCUUGGAUUUCCGAAAGACGAACUACUGCGAAAGCAUUUACCAAGGAUGUUUUCAUUAAUCAAGAACGAAAGUUAGGGUAUCGAAAACGAUUAGAUACCGUUGUAGUCUCUUCUGUAAACUAUGCCAAUUGGGGAUCGGUACAGGAUUUUUAAUGACUGUAUCGG